rnacentral:rRNA from 1 species
GAUUGAACGCUGGCGGCAUGCCUUACACAUGCAAGUCGAACGGCAGCACGGGGGCAACCCUGGUGGCGAGUGGCGAACGGGUGAGUAAUACAUCGGAACGUGUCCUGUAGUGGGGGAUAGCCCGGCGAAAGCCGGAUUAAUACCGCAUACGAUCUACGGAGGAAAGCGGGGGAUCUUCGGACCUCGCGCUAUAGGGGCGGCCGAUGGCAGAUUAGCUAGUUGGUGGGGUAAAGGCCUACCAAGGCGACGAUCUGUAGCUGGUCUGAGAGGACGACCAGCCACACUGGGACUGAGACACGGCCCAGACUCCUACGGGAGGCAGCAGUGGGGAAUUUUGGACAAUGGGGGCAACCCUGAUCCAGCAAUGCCGCGUGUGUGAAGAAGGCCUUCGGGUUGUAAAGCACUUUUGUCCGGAAAGAAAACUUCGUCCCUAAUAUGGAUGGAGGAUGACGGUACCGGAAGAAUAAGCACCGGCUAACUACGU